rnacentral:rRNA from 1 species
GUCCAGACUCCUACGGGAGGCAGCAGUGGGGAAUAUUGGGCAAUGGGCGCAAGCCUGACCCAGCAACGCCGCGUGAAGGAUGAAGGUUUUCGGAUUGUAGACUUCUGUCGCGAGGGACGAAGAAUGACGGUACCUCGUAAGAAAGCCCCGACUAACUACGUGCCAGCAGCCGCGGUAAUACGUAGGGGGCAAGCGUUAUCCGGAUUUACUGGGUGUAAAGGGAGCGUAGACGGCAGCGCAAGUCUGAAGUGAAAUCCCAUGGCUUAACCAUGGAACUGCUUUGGAAACUGUGCAGCUGGAGUGCAGGAGAGGUAAGCGGAAUUCCUAGUGUAGCGGUGAAAUGCGUAGAUAUUAGGAGGAACACCAGUGGCGAAGGCGGCUUACUGGACUGUAACUGACGUUGAGGCUCGAAAGCGUGGGGAGCAAACAGGAUUAGAUACCCGUGUA